AAAACAACAGCAACAGCCUCAUUUUGUAGCCCUCCUCCCAACACAAGGCUGUUCUUAGACUGUUUUUCUUUCUCGGAGUCUUUACAGAAAUUAACUGCUUCUGUGCUGGAAGAUCCCAGGCACUUCAGCUGCUUCUUUGGAAGCCUCAGAGCAUAGCCUGACUGGGGGCAACAUUUUCAAAUGCAUCCAGUUGGCUUGGGAACUAAAAUCCUUUCUUUUAAAAGUGGAUGUUUGUGUAGGCUGCUUCACGCACCGCUGGAAAUGCACCACUCAAAUGCUGUGGCAAUAUGCACAACACAACAAUUCCAGUAGAAAGAAACAGAAUAAACAUAUUUAGGCAUUUUUUCCAUUGGAUGCAGAAUGCUUAUGCAUGCAUUGCAUUAAAUGCUGGGUGCAACAUGCACAAUGUCCCAGAAGUGAAUCACAGCACCUGUGCUGUCCCAAGUCUGAACACCACUGCUUUUUGUCUUACUCUCUGGUCAGACAGCUCUUGGUCUCCUGGCUGUAAAGCACCAAAAUGGAUGGAGAACACCAACACCUGACCUAUGCCCCUGUUGUGGAGGCUCUGUGGUCAUUUGGCAGGGAGAAGUAGAGCUGCAUGGGAUCCCUCCCCACCUUAAGGACCUGUGAGACUUCCAAGCAUCACUUGCUCCCUGUGACCCAGAAUCUGCAGAGAGCACAGGUUCUGGAAAGGAAGGAGGCACUACACAGAAGACAGCAGUGAGAAUGAGAUUCUCUCUGCUCAGCAGGAGUCUUUAAAAUAUUGCUGUCCUGCUGCAGCAUCAACACCUCAGAACCUGGGUUCUCAUCCAGAAGAUACUCAAAAUGUCUUGUUCACAAGGAGUACUGGGGAAUUAAAUAUUCUACGCAGACUAUAUUGCACUAAGUCUUGGAAAAGAAGACAACCUGCUGGUGAUCUGACAGAGCUCCGAUUCCUGAGAGGCACAAGAGGGGAGAAUGCAGAAACUCCGAAGCUGGGCUAAAGAAGAAAAUUUCCUUCGGCCAAACAAAAUGGUGGGCUGGAAGCUCAAUAAAAUGUGCAAAAUGCUUCGGCCAGACUGAACACCAUUGCAUCUACUUGUUCCUAGUGGGGGUAGGAGGAAUUAGUAGCUCCUACGUCAUGACAGCACUUGAGAAUAAAAGGAUGAACCAUAGAGAGACCUCUCUGAUUAGGCCUUAUCACUGUGUGAUCUGAUCCUUCUGAAAGAUUCAAUGUGUCUUGAAAUAGUUUGAUUAUGGAAAUUCUUCUUUUAGCAGAGAAGAGGCAAUUCCUUUUGUCCAGAAACUCAAUAACUUCAUUUAGUACUUUUUUGAAGUUUCCUUCAAAUGGGCUAUUUACAGGAAUCAGACAAUCUCUUCUGGAAGUACAACUGAAUGUGUCCUGAAAGAACAGAGAAGACUCUGAUAGCAACAUACUAACAAUACUUUUUGCAUAGAAGGGGAAAAAUGAGUGAAAACUUUUUUUUUAAUCAGGUCUCAAGAGUGUCUUCUGCAGCCCUUCAUAGCCAGAUGAAAGGAUCUAUGUGAUGUUUACACAGACUCCUGCAGAGUAAUUGCCAUAGCAGCUCAUAUAAAAGCAACAGUAGAAAGGUGUAAAAGUCAUUUGCUAGGAAGAAAUAGGAAGUGAUCAGCAACACUUUAAGCAAAUUAUUGCCAUGAAAUCACUCUCUCAGCUUGAGAUAAGUACUUGGGGUCUGUUAAAGCUAUAAGAGGCCUGUGACUUCUCCUCCCAGUACCUUUUUCUGAAAAGAUUAAUUCAUAAAAAGAGGCGAUGCAGUGGACAUAUGCAUUGAACUCACACUGAAUAUACCUGUCCUCAGGCUAUGGCUGGCUCCCCCGCAUAUGUGUGAAUUAAUGUGUGUGUGCAUGUUCAAAGACUUCAAAAAUGUAAUUAUGAAUGAUGUCCUUUCGCAGCAAAACUUAAGUCUGUAUAAUUUAAACCCCUUAGAAGUGGCCAUUCGUAGAAGAGCCAUCUGCAAAUGUCUAUGGUAGGUAGCAGAGCUUUGAGCUGCCCUGAGAGUGAAGCACUUGGCACAGGUGAGCUGGGGAAGGAACAUGCUUUUGAGGGAAACCUGCAGGACAGGAGGAAUUUUGGGUCUGCCUGUGAAGCUAGGCCAGCUCUGCGGACACCCUGGCUCCCUAGGAAGGAGUUAUGCUCUCCUGGCACCCUGCCUGUGGAUGAGAAAACUUUGCCCCUGUGAAUCCCCAUCCUGCCCUUGGCAAGGGGCCACGGACUCACUGAGCAUUUGUCUGCUUGUUCCAGCUCCUGCUUAUUACCUCCAAAGCAUACUUAAACUGCAGAUCCAGUCUGUUGUUAGAGGAAACUCAGAAGUGUUUUCUUCAGAAAUAGUCCCAUUCCAUCAUAUUCCUGGGUGCGCAGGUUUUGGGGCUUAUUUAAAAAUAAAACAAAACCUCUUUUUUUUUUCUUUUUUUUUUUUUGUCUUUUGGGAGCAGAUGGAGUGGAUGUGAAAAAUGAAUAUGAAAUCAAACACUUUGCCUUUUACUCAAAAUUCAACCUUCUUCCCUUCACCCAUGAUGUCACAAGUAGGAUUAGUAGUGCAGAUGGGGACUAAGCAGUUGAGCUCUGGAGAAAGAAAUUUUCAUUCUGUAAAUCUUUCUGAGAUAAACUUGGCUUUCCAGAGAUGCAGGGCUCUAGGGUUAUGAUACAAAUAGAAAAACAGAAAUAGUAACAGGAUAUGGUAAUAUAGACUGUGUGUACAUCUGUGUCUGUGUGCACAGAACAGGGUUAGCAGGCAGGGAACUUGGGAAUGGUGCAGACGGGAUGAGGUGGGAUGGUCUUCUGAUAUGGGCAGGAGAUGGCAGGGAUGGGCUGCCUCUGGCAUGACAAAAUGGUUCUUGGCACUUGCAAACUGUGCCCGAGCAACACCCAGGAGCAGGCCAGGAGGCUGCUGUGGGCGCUGCUCCCAGGAGCCCACUGACAGCCAAGUGGUAGAGGCAGACAUCGGCCAAUGCUCAAGCCCUUUCCCUGGCCUCACUACAUUUACUGGAGCAGACACAGCCAGAGCAAUGCCAGGAUAUGUACAAAGCAGGUGAUUUGGGAAAAGUGAGAUCUCUGCCACAGAGAGGGGAGUCAGUUUCAGAGUUCCUAGAGGGGUCUCUGAGGAUGGACAGAGGCAUUGCAGGCACUUCUUGAAUCAGCGACAAGAAACUGCUGGCCAGCAAGAAUGCUUCAAGUUCCCCAUGCAGUUACAGUGGAAAAGAGCCAAGAAAUCCCCAGCUACCAGUUUUUAGGUAUCAUUCUCUGUAUUUGGGGAACACAAGCAGCUGCAGGGAUAAUCUGCUCCAGCCACAGUCUGCCUCUGUCAGACAGAAGAGAUUUGAAAGUGCCACAGAGUCAGGGCUCAGUUUUUUGACCCAGGCCCCUCAGAGUCAAGCUGCCACACAGGCUUUCAUAAGGGUAGCUCUGAAAAGCUGUGGUAAGCAUUUGCUAUUGAAUUGCCCCUUUCUGAUCAUCCCAGAACCCCAUAUACUACAGCACUUGCCAACUUACUUGGAGGUGAAUUCACCCAGAAGGAAGGAUGUAAGGAUGCUGCUGUUCUUUUAGCUGCCUCACCACUAGCCUCAGUCAUACAAGAUACUGCCAAUAGUUUUUUUACUCUAAUGCUCAUUCUUCUUACACUUAUUUGCCUGUAAGCACUGGUCAUUCUCAGUUUAUUUUUGAAAAAUAAAAUGUUUUACCUUUUUUUCUCAUCUGUCAUAA